UACGAGGGGGGCGAGCGUUGUUCGGAAUUAUUGGGCGUAAAGGGUGCGUAGGCGGUUUGGUAAGUCUUGUGUGAAAUCUCCAGGCUCAACUUGGAGUCUGCACGAGAAACUGCCGGGCUUGAGUGUGGGAGAGGUGAGUGGAAUUCCCGGUGUAGCGGUGAAAUGCGUAGAUAUCAGGAAGAACACCAAUGGCGAAGGCAGCUCUCUGGGACGGUACUGACGCUGAGACGCGAAAGCGUGGGGAGCGAACAGG
rnacentral:rRNA from 1 species